AUUGAGUACGGUGAGUGUAGAGAUAAAAUUUUUUGAUACCACUUAGGAACUGGUAACAGCGAAGGCUACCUUCAAUGUAAAAAACUGACGUUAAGGGACGAAGGCUUGUAACAAAUAAUAGGAUUAGAUACCCUAGUAUUUUGAGCAGAAAAUGAUGAGUGUCAUAUACAAGAUAAAUGUUUUGUGUAUAAAUGAAAGUGUAAGCACUCCACCUCAAGAGUAACGUGGCAACAUGGGAACUGAAAUCAUUAGACCGUUUCUGAAACUCGUAGUGAAGUAUGUUGUUUAAUUUGAUGGCCCUCAAAUAACCUUACCACAAUUUGUAUAACUAUUGUACGAUAGUUACAAGCGUUGCACGGCUGUCUUCAGUCAAUGUUGUGAAACUUUGGUUAGAUCCAUUUAAUUGACGUAAACCCUUUCUUUAAUUAUUUUAAAGUAGUUCGCCGCUAUAUUGGUAGUGAUAUAAGGGACUAGGACAAGUCAUCAU
rnacentral:rRNA from 1 species